GAAGGAAGCAUUUUACACAAACGUGGUUAAGAAUGGUCAAGAUUAAUAAAUAUUGAUCAACAACUUGUCGAGAAAUCACUGAACAUAACUUUUUUAUGGCCUUCGCUCUCUCUGGUCAGCGUCUCUCCAUCUAAUAAAACGGUUUCGUAGAAUACGGAGAGUCAAAGUGUAUCGGAAGAAAAGCAACCCCUGUUGAUUCAGCAGUAGGACCCCCACCAGUGUAUCGAGUGAUGGGCAACACAACAUCAGGAUAAAUUAUUUGCUUGGAUUGUAAUUAAGCGGUUUCGUAGAAUACGGAGAGUCAAAGUGUAUCGGAAGAAAAGCAACCCCUGUUGAUUCAGCAGUAGGACCCCCACCAGUGUAUCGAGUGAUGGGCAACACAACAUCAGGAUAAAUUAUUUGCUUGGAUUGUAAUUAAGCGGUUUCGUAGAAUACGGAGAGUCAAAGUGUAUCGGAAGAAAAGCAACCCCUGUUGAUUCAGCAGUAGGACCCCCACCAGUGUAUCGAGUGAUGGGCAACACAACAUCAGGAUAAAUUAUUUGCUUGGAUUGUAAUUAAGCAAAUAAACUAUUAUAUACUAUUAGUAUACCAUAAAUCAAGAUGUCGAAUCGACCAAUCGACCAGGAGAAGACAUAGAGGAACGUUGAAAUAAUUCGACAUCGAAUGACAGGUUAUGGUAAGUUUAUGGGACUACUCCUUGGUAACUGUUAGAGGCAAGAUCUACAUAGAUGUAUUUUACUGUUAUGAAUAAAAUUGUAGAGAGAGUCAAAUUCUCUAAUUAAUUCUAAAAAGAAAAUACUCCUGCCGUUGAGUUUUCAGAUAUAUUUCAUUUAUCUGAUAUACAUAUUCUUUGAAUUAGAAACCUCUGUAUUUUCAAUUUUUCUUAAAUAUAACUUAAUUCUACUUGAUUGUUGUCAAAUGAAUUUUUUUUUAUUCUAAGAGCAUUUCUUCCUUAAAAAGUUCACAUUUUGAAAUUGACACGGGCGUAUAUUUUGGAGUCACUUUUCUUUACAGCUAUUAAUAUUGGUAUUCAGUGGUAAAAGAAAAUAAAAUGAAAAAUCUUUGCCUCUUUCCAUUUUGUCAUAUUUUGAUCUAACACAAAUUUACAAUGAAAAAGAAUCAUUAUUAUAAGUUUUACAAUGACUCUUGGUUUUCGUGUGAUUU